rnacentral:rRNA from 1 species
CGAGCGCCCCGCAAGGGGAGCGGCAGACGGGGGAGUAACACGUGGGAACGUACCCUUCAGUUCGGAACAACUCAGGGAAACUUGGGCUAAUACCGAAUACGUCCGUAAGGAGAAAGAUUUAUCGCUGAAGGAUCGGCCCGCGUCUGAUUAGCUUGUUGGUGAGGUAACGGCUCACCAAGGCUACGAUCAGUAGCUGGUCUGAGAGGAUGAUCAGCCUCACUGGGACUGAGACACGGCCCAGACUCCUACGGGAGGCAGCAGUGGGGAAUAUUGGACAAUGGGCGCAAGCCUGAUCCAGCCAUGCCGCGUGGAUGAUGAAGGCCUUAGGGUUGUAAAGUCCUUUCGACGGGGAAGAUAAUGACGGUACCCGUAGAAGAAGCCCCGGCUAACUUCGUGCCAGCAGCCGCGGUAAUACGAAGGGGGCUAGCGUUGCUCGGAAUCACUGGGCGUAAAGCGCACGU